GUUGACUCUUAUCUAACGAUAUAGAUUAUUCACUGUGAUAUACAAUUUUUAUUUUUCUAACAUUUGAUAUUUAUUUAAUAUUCUUCAAAUUUUAUCCGGGGGGGGGGGGCUAUGCCCUCCCGGAGAGGUGUCUGAAGAAACACUGUUAGUGACCAAUGCCAUUAAGCGUCUACCCCGACUUUUGGCAACUUAAAGAGAACGCAUAUACUUACCUUAAAUAAGAAGGGGGACUCCGUCCCCCUCCACUUUAACCACUGACUUCAAUUGAUCUCCUGGUAUAGAAACGAAAAAAAAAUGGAGUUUGACACAAGGGGUCAAGGUAUCAAUAAUAAAUGGUUUAUUGUUAGAAAAAACCGACUAACACCUAUAAUUUCGGUAAAGUGUGCAUAAUGCGGCCUAGCACAUUUUGUAAGGCUAUGGUAUAUAAUAUAUCGUUUGGUGAUUCACAAACAAAUGCAAUGGAAUAUGAUAAACUAUCAGAAGAGCAUUAAAAAAAAUUAUACGUUCAAAUACAAAAACCUAUUAAAAAGUGUGGACUAUAUAAUAAUAAACGUUAACCAUAUCUUGCAGCAACGGCAGAUGGAUUAGUUGAAAAAACUACAGUCGAAAUAAAAUGUCUAUUUUUGUAAAAGAAUAUGACAGUUUAAAACAAAUGUAACGCAAGUCUUAUUCUAACGGGCUGUACGAACCAAAUUGGAUAGUAAGAAAAAUCAAAAGGGCAGUUAACUUUAUGAAUACGAGCACCUUAAAAAAUAUAAUUUUCCUUGUAGAAUGAUUGAAUUUCUACUGAGUAUUUGGAAUUUGUGUAA